CUAGCAUACACUACACAGCAGAUACCACCAUAGCCUUCUCAU
rnacentral:tRNA from 1 species